rnacentral:snRNA from 1 species
GUGCUCACUUCAGCAGCACAUAUACUAGAACUGGAAUGAUACAGAGAAACUUAGCAUGGCCCUGUGCAAGGAUGACAUGCAGAUUCAUGAAGCAUUCCAUAUUUUU